UAUGAUUCCCGUCACUGGAUGCCCCUCCAGUGGAAGACCGAGUAUCAUGGUGAUGUCCUGCAUCGUGAUGGUCAUCUCUCCAAAUGGGAGGUGGAAGGUGUGAAUCUCCGGACACCACCUGUCAACCAUAGCGGUCAACAACGGUCCAUCCAUUGGAGGGACACCUGCAACAACCUGAACCACAAUGUCUAGGAAUCCUGCUCUCUGCAGGUAGUGCGCGUAGCGCUCAUCCCACCUAAAUGGUGAGUGCACUAUCACCUGUAGUGGCUUCAAAUCCUGCAAAACAACCAAAUAAUUGGAUAUAAGAUUAUUACUUACCAACAAGCAAAUAGACAUAGAUGCAAAAGGUGGUUUCAAAAAAAAAUGAAAAGUGAAUGCAUUUGAGAUGAAAACUAGAAACCAAAACUACAGAAGCUCAUCAACUCUAGAACUAAAGGGCUGCUAAAGUGUUAAGUAACACAUAUCUGAUAUAAAUGGCAUUUUCAGUAGGAAAUUGUGCUGAUUGUACACAAGAAACUAGAAUGGUGUUUUCCAUCACCGUUUUCAGGUUCAAACUUAAUGUCAGCUGAGAAUUAGACAUAGUAAUAUUAAGGGACAGACUUAGCAUCCAGUUAUAAGAUUUUUAGAACGGCUAGUCAUUGAUGAGAAUAGUUUAUACCAAAAUGUUGCAAUUCUCAUCCUAAGGUACAUAUUCAUCAGCAUAAAUUUUCACAUUGGGGCAUAAUGAAAUGGUAUGGACUAGUAAUGUGCAUGCUUACAUUGCCAAUUUGUUUUCUACUCUUCUUACAGAUAUUUAAGGAAACACAACAGGAGCCUCUGGGGACAACUUAUUUAUCAACCAACUAUUGGUUAAUCCUGAACUUAAAUUUUGAUAGGUAUAGUGUAUUUUCUAGUCAGAUAUCUCGUUCACACUAUUCUGAGGCUCCUUUCACAAGUAAUGGUCAUUUGAAUAAAAUUAAUUGAGCAUCAGUUGUCAUGUCCAAAUAUUGUUUAAUCGACAAGAAUCUAUUAUCUUUCGUCAUAACGCCAGAACUGAUGCAGUAACUCGUGCAGGUCGGCGAGGUGGUAGGCGCGGUGCUGCAAGUCGUACGUGGCCUCAAGAAGCGGGUACGCUGGAGCCGCCAUCCUAAAAAACAACAAACAACAUUCAUUAGUAAAAAGGUUCAUUGUAUGAUAAGUACAGUAAAAAUGAAAAUUUACUAUCAAUAAAUGCUAUAAUGAUAACCAUGCACAAUAUGAGCAACGCGCCUACCCUCAUGUUGGAAGAAUGCAG
rnacentral:lncRNA from 1 species